UCAGCAUUCACAUUUUGAGUAUCACUAUUAUCAUAUUCACAUAUCUAUAUAUACAUCUCCGAACUACAAUUGUUGGAUCUAUAAUUAAGUUUACAACUUUGAUCAUUUGGCGCUGCAAUCUCCCGGGGUCCUAGUUACGUACAAAAGUAAAGCAUAUUAUAUAAUGUCUGAAAAGAAGGUGCAGGGAGUAGAUGGAUUGGAUGACCUUCGAAUCCCAUUGGAUAAGAUAAAAUUCGGUAAGAAACUGGAAGUGCAGGGGUAUGGAACAGUGUUUGAAGGCCAGCUGUAUGAGCAACAGCAAGCAGUAGUAGUGGCGUUGAAACAGUUAAACAUUACGAAUCUAGCUGCCAUCAAACCAAAACUGUUGGACGAGAUUCUGAGAAUAUCUCGUUUUCGGCAACAUCCAAAUGUGGUGGCUCUUGUGGGAUUUUGUGACGAGAGGAGCAACGAGAUCAUACUGGUUUACGAGUACGUAGCUGGUGGGAAUCUGGAAGACAAGAUGAGGAGUCGUCUUAACACGAUCCAGCGUCUAGAGAUCUGUCUAGAUGCUGCCCGCGGACUUGAUUAUUUGCAUACUGGUAGUAGUGUCAUGGUUCACGGGAACAUCAAGCCUUCGAAAAUCCUCCUGCAGCUGAAGAAGAAGAAUGACGAUUCAUCAUCAUCUACUGCUACUACUGCGGGGAGUAAAUUCGAAGCAAAGGUUUCGAGUUUUGGGUUGUCGAAAAUAGUUCCUGGGGGACAGAAGAAUAAUACUAAGGAAUCAUCAUCAUCGUCUACACAUGAUGAUGAGAAUGAUAUAAAGAAGACUACUAGGAAAGAAUAUGAUGUAUACUGUUUCGGGGUGAUGUUACUGGAAGUGUUGUGUGGCGUAUCGGAGCUGGUUGAUACAGAUGAUUACCAGGAGCGGCAUGUCACCGAAUUGGUCCCCAAGAGGUUAUUGGAGGAGGAACAAAACAAUAAUAAUAGGCUACGCAAAAUUGUGCAUUUCGAUAUAAGAAAAGAAAUCAAAACCGACGCAUUGGACACUUAUGCCAGAAUCGCGUGCCAGUGUGUGCUGGAAAAUCCCGAAGCCCGUCCAACCAUGCCUCAAGUCGUCCAACAACUUGAAUUAGCAUUGCAAUUACAGGGAGGGGAGGUCUCAUAUGUCAAAAUUCCUGCUACUUAUAAAUAUAACAUGGCUGCUAGUCAACCGGAUGAAAAUUCCAAGGCUGACAAUAAUACACCACACCAACAUACUAUUGCUACGGAAGAGGCAGGCCCACAUGUUCCAGUUUCAAGCAGCGUACAUGGUGAGAGCCUACCGAGUAUCAAUGAUAAAUCAAACGUAGUGACUAUCAACGUUGAAAACAGAGACUAUGAACAAAACAACGUUCCUCCAAAGGAGAUUGACAACAGUAGUGUGAUAACAAGCACCAACACCACCGAACAACUCAACUCCAACAAGCUAUCAACUAUAGCUCAUCAAAAGGAAGGCGAAGAUCAAACUACACAACUUGCUACAUUUACGGAAUCUAGCAACGGUGACUCCAAUACAAGCCAGGAAGUGCAGAAUUCUGGAAUUUUGAAGUCAGGCAGCAGGGAUUUCAGCAAAUUACCCAACGAAAACCAGAUUGGUGACGGCCUAGAACACCUUCGAAUUCCAUUUGAAAAGAUUACAUUUGGUAAGAAAAUCGAUGUGCGUGGCUACGGGAGCAUAUUUGAAGGAGAACUCGAUCAUCAACCAGUCGCUUUGAGACGGCUAAACAUCACAAACCUUGCUAACAUCAAGCCCAAGCUUUUAGCUGAGAUUCUAAGAGUCGCAAAGUUCAAGCAACACCCCAACCUUGUUGCUCUUAUCGGAUUUUGCGACGAGAAGAACAAUGAAAUAAUACUUGUUUACGAGUAUGUCUCGAGUGGGAAUUUGGCAGAUAAGAUGAGUAAACAUCUCAAUACAAUCCAGCGCCUUGAGAUUUGUCUUGGUGCUGCUCGUGGAAUCGAAUUUUUGCAUUGUGGUGUUGAUGACUCGACACCUGGUAUCAUUCAUGGUGACGUUAAACGUUCGAAGAUUCUGUUGAAUUCAUCAUAUUUCAAUUCAUCAAAAUUCGAAGCUAAAGUUUCGGGUUUCGGAUUAACCAAACUACUGCCUGGAGAGGUUCAGAUUGUUCCAAAAUCCAUCGAUCCAGUGUAUGAAGUAACAGGCAUUUUGACCAAAGAAUCUGACAUCUACUCUUUCGGUGUGUUGUUGCUUGAAGUCUUAUGCGGGGUGUCAGAACUAGUAGACACCGACGAUUAUCAGGAACGACACGUUACUGAAUUGGUCCCAAAGAGGCUGGAACAAAAUAAAUUACGCAACAUUGUUCAUUUUGGUAUUAGGGAUGAGGUAACAACUGAAUGUUUGGAAACUUAUGCCAAAAUCGCCUGCCAAUGUGUGUUGAAAAAUCCUCAAGAUCGACCUAACAUGGCUGAGGUUGUCAUACAACUCGAGAAAGCAUUGAGACUACAGGGCGAGGAGGUAUCCACUAUGGUUGGCAGUGAUGGCAAUGGUCUGCCUCGAGAAACUAUCCAAGAGGAUGCUCAGGGAGAGGAUGAUAACGGGGAGAUUAUACGUAGGGACAUAGCAGAGGAAGAAUCUCAUGCAAAAAUUACAAGCGUCAUCAUGCAGAAGCCGAGCACUGGUGUUCCAACCCCAAAGCUAUACAGCAUGGAUGGUGAGAGUGGGCCUGAUAAAACCCAUACUGAAGUUUUGAAUCGGGAAAAUGACAACAAUGUGUUAAUAAAUUUCAAUGAUUCAGAAACCACAAAAGAAGUCAUAUAUGAGCUAAACUCCAACGACAUGUCAAACAGUACCAUGGAAAAUGAGGACGAUAACCAGAGCACAAAACUUGUCACGUUUUUAGUAUCUAGCAACAGUGACACCAGUAUCUCCGAUCAUCCAACAAAACAUAACUCCGCGCCCGACAGUAGAAACUUUGAUAACCUUCCGUAUGAGAACUAUGAUGUGUUUAAAGACGACCUGGAAAACCUUCGAAUUCCAUUCAACAAGAUUAAAGUUGGUACGCAAAUCGAUGUGCGUGGCUACGGGAGCAUAUUUGAAGGAGAAUUUGACAAUCAACAUGUUGCAUUGAAACGGUUAAACAUCACAAACCUCAGUAACAUCAAACCCAAGCUUUUGGCAGAGAUUCUAAUGAUUGCUAGAUUCCGAAAACACCCCAAUCUUGUGACUCUGAUAGGUUUUUGUGACGAAAAGAGUAACGAAAUAAUACUCGUUUAUGAAUAUGUCUCCAGUGGCAAUCUAGCAGAUAAGAUGAAUAGACAUCUUACCACAAUCCAGCGCCUUGAAAUCUGUCUAGAUGCUGCUCGUGGACUCGAUUAUUUACAUACUGGUGCUGACUCUGCACGUGGAAUCAUUCAUGGUAGCAUCAGACUUUCGAAGAUCCUGUUGAAUUCAGAUUCAACUGAAUCGAAGUUCAAAGCUAAGGUUUCGGGUUUUGGUUUGUCCAAGCAACUGCCUGGACACGUUCAGAUUGCUCCGAAAUCCACAGAUCCUAUGUAUGAAGUCACAGGAAAAUUGAUGAAGGAAUCGGACGUCUACUCGUUCGGUGUGUUGUUGCUUGAAGUUUUAUGUGGGGUCCCCGAGUUGGUAGAUACUGAUGAUUAUCACGAACGGCAUGUUACCGAAUUGAUCCCAAAGAGACUGGAACAAAAUAUGUUGCGUAAGGUAGUGCACUUCGAUAUUAGAGAUGAAAUAACAACAGAAUCCUUGGAAACGUAUGCCAGAAUAGCAUGCCAAUGCGUGAUUAAGAACCCUGAAGAACGCCCUACCAUGGCUGAGGUGGUCGUAGAACUUGAGAAAGCAUUGAGAUUACAGGGAGGGGGAGUAUCUUAUGUCCAAAUACUUGGUAGCACUAACAGCAAAGGUGUACCUGAAGGAAUCGUACAAGAAGAUGUUCAGGAAAGGGAUGAAGAUGCUGACAAGUUGAGCAUGGACAUAGCAGAGGAAGAACCUGAGGAAACUAUUGACGAUGUUGCUAUGCAAGGGGAGAGCUUUCCCAUUCGGAUGUUAGGCAGUGCAAAUGACGAGAGUGUACCCGAUAUAACCAAAGAUGAUAAGAAAAAUAAUGACGUUAGCACAAAUGAUCCAACAUCCAACGAGGAAUCAAUUAUCAUUGUGGAAAAGGAAGUUGAUGCUGAAAGCAAGAUAAUUACAUCUUCGGAUUCUAACGAAGGCGAGGAUGAUAACUCUGAUAUGCAAGGGCAGAGUACAGCAGAAAAAACUGGUAAAGAGAGCAGUAACAGUUAUGCUCUAAAGAUGGGCACGGCUGAUCUUGAAAGCAAUGUAAUCAUGGAUGAUAAAAUUACAGAAACGGAAAUUACAUUGGAUGUGCAGAACCCUGCAAUCCCGGAUCCAGGCAAUGAGGAUGCUGGAAAUCAAUGCUCAGUGUUCGAAAACGAGAAGAAACCCGAGUUGAUUGUUGAUAUCAGAAGAGAUACCAGUGAUUUUCCUGUCAAUGAUAAGUUGAUAUCCAUCGAAAAGAACCAAGAUUUUGUAAGCAAAAGAAGUGAUAGUACGUGCUCGGAGUCUAGCAACGGUGAUGACACCACUCCCUCAGAUUCUCUGCUGAAAAAGAGUCCGCCCAAUGGUACUAGCAUGAAAAAAACAUCAAAUGGCUCCACAAGCUACUGCUGCUGUUCCUGGUGGUGCUACCUCUUUGACAGUCUUCAUAUGUUACAGAAUUGUUUUCUACGGAGGUCAAUUCUGGAAUGAACUGGUCUCGUGUUUUAACAGGAUCAUCGGACAAGGUUCAAGCAAAAGUGAUUAAGGAGAAUAGCGAGCUCCUCAAUGUGUUGCAUAUUUAUUUAAAUUGUUGUUUGUGAAGUUUUGUAAACGUUGCUUCAACACGAGAGUGAUGUAUACAUACAGAUGUUUAUCGUUUGGUA